GUACGAAGCUGGCGAGACUUGCCGAAAGAAUGUACGGUGGACACGUAAAAAAAAAAAAAUAAGACAAACUUUGAACCCCUUCAAUUCCCAGAAGGUCCUAACCCCCAAAAAAUCAUUUCAGUGGGUCCUGCUCUGAUUCAUUACCUUUCAUUUGAGCUAUGUCCGGUGUCGAACUUUGCCGUACGAAGCUGGCGAGACUUGCCGAAAGAAUGUACGGUGGACACGUAAAAAAAAAAAAUAAGACAAACUUUGAACCCCUUCAAUUCCCAGAAGGUCCUAACCCCCAAAAAAUCAUUUCAGUGGGUCCUGCUCUGAUUCAUUACAUUUCAUUUGAGCUAUGUCCGGUGUCGAACUUUGCCGUACGAAGCUGGCGAGACUUGCCGAAAGAAUGUACGGUGGACACGUAAAAAAAAAAAAAUAAGACAAACUUUGAACCCCUUCAAUUCCCAGAAGGUCCUAACCCCCAAAAAAUCAUUUCAGUGGGUCCUGCUCUGAUUCAUUACCUUUCAUCUGAGCUAUGUCCGGUGUCGAACUUUGCCGUACGAAGCUGGCGAGACUUGCCGAAAGAAUGUACGGUGGACACGUAAAAAAAAAAAAAUAAGACAAACUUUGAACCCCUUCAAUUCCCAGAAGGUCCUAACCUCCAAAAAAUCAUUUCAGUGGGUCCUGC